AGAGCCCUGUAACCCUGGAUCUGAUUGGUUAAUUUAAAUCAAGCAUAGUCAGGCGUUGGGUUCAAGGCAAGGACACAGCCGUUUGUUCUGGUGGGCCUUGCCUCAGCACUCUGGAAAGUCCCAGGUACACUCUGUUCCUCAUUUGUCUUCCCUUUUGAGAGGCCGGUUGACCA